rnacentral:misc_RNA from 1 species
GGGAGAGCGUGUCCAUUCCAAUUGCCAAGUCAUCAAAUGUAUUCAGUUUGGGACAAGUGCCACACCUUCCUCCUACUUCCUUCUUGCUUUGCUCUAUCUCUUCCACUCCUCAGUCUCUCUCUCCAACAUUCAAAGCUCUUCUAGCAUGAAAGGAAGGAGAAUUAAUUAAUUAACCCACUGCCCUCCCCAUUUGUUGUCAAUGAAAGCAGGGACCAGAGCACCAUGGAUAGGACUUGGAGUUGCUGUAUGGGUCCAAAUAGCAUCUGGGAAUGCCUACAACUUCCCUCUCUAUUCCCAUUCUUUGAAAUCUGUUCUUGGUUUUAACCAGCACCAGCUUACUAUGGUUGGGGUUGCUAAUGACAUUGGUGAGAAUAUUGGACUCCUCCCUGGUAUUGCCUCCAACAAGUUCCCUCCUUGGGCCAUUCUAUUGAUUGGUGCUUUUGCCUGUUUCAUUGGUUACGGUGUUCUCUGGCUUGCUCUUAGCCGCGCUGUCCAGUCUAUGCCUUAUUGGUUGCUAUGGCUUGCACUAUGUGUUGCCACUAAUAGUAGUGCUUGGUUGAGCACUGCUGUACUUGUGACCAACAUGAGAAACUUCCCUCUUAGUCGAGGCACAGUUGCUGGUAUUCUCAAAGGUUAUGGAGGAAUCAGUGCUGCAGUGUUUACUGCAAUUUACAGUAUGCUGCUUCAUAGUUCCUCUUCUAAGCUUCUGAUGUUCCUUGCACUUGGAAUUCCUGUUCUUUGUUUCCUUGUGAUGUAUUUUGUAAGGGCUUGUACUCCAGCUUCUGGUGAGGACUCUACAGAACAUGCCUAUUUUCUUUUUACCCAAGCAGCCCUUAUUGCACUCAGCUUAUAUAUUCUAAUAACCACGAUAUUGGACCACAUGCUUCGUUUGAGUGCCCCAAUAUCUUAUACUUUUCCUGUCAUAAUGUUUGUCCUUCUGAUGGCUCCACUUGCAAUACCCAUAAAGAUGACAUUUUGUUGCACUAGGACCAGCAAAUCAGGGAUGCUUGACCGGUCAAUUGCUUCAUCAGACAAUCUGAUACAGGGAGAAGCAAGUGCGGACAAAACUGAACCAUUGCUCAAGUCAUCCUCAUCAGCACUGAUACUUGGAAGCUUUCAGGAAAUUGAUGAGACAUCUGUGGCAGCUAAUAUGCUUCUAGCUGAGGGUGAGGGGGCAGUGAAGAAGAAGAGGAGGCCCAAAAGAGGGGAGGAUUUCAAAUUUAGUGAAGCUGUAAUCAAAGCUGAUUUCUGGCUUCUUUUCUUUGUUUACUUUGUUGGGGUUGGUUCUGGGGUAACUGUGCUCAAUAAUCUGGCCCAGAUAGGUAUUGCUCAAGGUGUACAUGACACCACAAUCUUGUUGUCUCUCUUCAGCUUUUGCAAUUUUGUAGGACGUCUUGGUGGUGGUACUGUUUCUGAACAUUUUGUCAGGUUAGCGCAUUCUGUCCAUUUUACUCAUUAAGGCAAUUGAAUUGAAAUGUUUCCAUGCUCAAUUGGUUUUGUAUGCUCAUCAUUCUAAAUGGUUUUUGAUAUUGGAGAAACAGUAUUUUGUUGUUUUACACUUUUUAACCUCGCAGUGGAUAUCAAAAUGAUAAUUAGUUUUAAGCUUGUCUUGUGAUGGGUGUCAUCAAAAGGUCAGGAGCAAAAUGCCCUUCCAUCCAUUCAAUUCAACAUUUUGGACUUCCUGUGAGUAAUAAAUUGUUGCUGUUUUUAUUUCAUUAUUCGAAUGUGUAUCCAAGCAUUAGCCUUUGCAGUCCUGAUGGAUUUUGGGUUUGUGGUUCGAAUCUUCAUACAUGACGGGAAGAAAAUAAUUUAUGACAAACUCUACUCAUUUUCUGAAAUCUGUCAUAAAAUAUGGGUAUUAGUUGCCAUCUGCUUUGAAUUUUCUUCUGGGCCUAUACUAAAAUUUCAAAUUUGUGCAUCAUAAGUGGUGUAUGUAUUUGUGCCUAAAUGUUAUUCAUUGCUUAAUUUCCCUGUUGUAUUACUUUGGCCUUGUUUUAAUAACAUGUCGGAAAUUUAUUUUUUACAGGUCAAAAACAAUCCCACGUACAAUAUGGAUGACGUGCACUCAAAUAAUAAUGAUAGUAACAUAUCUCUUGUUCGCUUCUGCCAUUGAUGGUACCCUUUAUUCUGCAACUGCAUUACUUGGGAUUUGCUUUGGGGUUCAGUUCUCUAUCAUGAUUCCAACAGUCUCUGAGCUUUUUGGCUUGAAGCAUUUUGGUAUAUUUUAUAAUUUUAUGUCACUAGGGAAUCCUCUUGGUGCAUAUCUUUUCUCAGGUCUCCUUGCAGGAUAUGUAUAUGAUACUGAGGCAGCAAAGCAACAAGGACUGAAUAUGUUGCUUGGCUCAAGCAUCUCCUGCAUGGGUCCACAUUGCUUCAGACUCACAUUCCUGGUUCUGGCUGGUGUCUGUGGGGUGGGAUCCAUCUUGAGCCUAAUUCUAACUAUGAGAAUAUGGCCAGUUUAUGAGAUGCUUUAUGCUGGGGGUUCCUUCAGGCUGCCUCAAAGCUCAAUUCAUUAAGAUUAUUGGAGUGAAGCAUGGAAGUUUGAAGUCAUUUAAAAAGGCCAUUCUACUGAAAAACAUGUUAGUAUGUAGCUGCUUCAACACUAGGAUGCAGAAAGUGACACAGCUAGAGAAACAGAAAUCAACAAACUGAUGUAACGUGUUUUAGCAUGAAGAUAGUUCUCAGACAACUACAUGAAAACUGUCUUUUAUUACAGAACCAUACUUAGGUUGCAGUUGUAGCCGAGUAUUCAUACUAUUAAGUGUCUGGUGUGUUCAUACUUAUACUUGAACUGCAGUACUGUAGAAAUUAUUGAAUACACGUCAGUUUUAAUCUAGCUUCUUUACUUUGUUGCUGUAUUGAAUCUUGAAUCAAGAAAGGUUCCGAAUACUGAAGCACUCUUAUCAUAUUAACAUUAGAUAGAAACAAGUAACAAAAGAACAAGGAGUUUGCUUCUCAGAAGGAUGAAGCAGAACCAAGAUCAACUCUCAGAUGAAUUAGAAUGGGAGCAAACUGAAUAGGGAAGAACUUAAGAAAGUACCCAUUUCAAGUGGGUUUCAUGUCCUGAAAAAGGUGAGACCAUAGUGACUGAUCAUCAUAAUCAUCAGUUGUCACCCUGCCCUGCUUGAUACCAUCCAACGGCCUAGAUAUUAUUGGGCUUCUGCACCCAGCCAUCAACCUCUGUUGCACAAUUCCAUCUGAUGUCCCAUAUAACUUCGGGUUUGGGCUCCUAUAAGCAAACACCAACCUGUCGUUCACUUUCCCUUCCAAAGGCCCAGAUAGUUUGAAGCUUUUAUUGUUGGGCAUAGGCAUCAAAUUCUCUGGCACCCUUCCAUCUAAAGGCCCUGAUAGCUUCAGGUUUCUAUGGUUUAGCAUCAAAUUCUCUGGUACUCUUCCAUCCAGAGGACCUGAGUUUGCUUGUCUCCUGGUCCUGAGUACUGGAGGCUUUUCUACCUGGAGCUCCUUGUCACUCUUGUAUUUUCUUGUCAAGGCUCCUCUCCACUGCUCUCGACAUCGAGGUGGCUCAGGCAGUGCCUUAAACACCGACUCCUCAUGGAAAACCAACUUGCUAAUACACUUCUUAAGGCUCUUUUUGGUUUUGUUGAUUGCGAAAAUGAACUUGGAAAGCCCAGUUGUGCCUGUUCCAACUUCUUUCUUAGCAAGCUUGAGUAUUUCCAGCCUGUGUUUGGCUAUCGAAAUGCCCAUACUUUGCAGAAACUCAUGGUUGAAGUGGCUUAAAUCCUCUUCUUGGAGCUCAUUUCGGGCAAAAGCUAGGCCAUACUCGUAGGUCAAUGAGGGGUCAAGGCCACUUCUUGAUAGCCAGGAGAACCAAUCCAUGGCUAGCCUUGAUUGUGCCAUAAGAUGCAAGAAUACAAGGUAGUCAUGUGCUUUAUAUGAGAUACAUCCUUGCAUGAGAGAUGGUCCUUUGACAUAUAUAUAACAAGUAGAUAAGGAAAGAGAGAAGAGCAAGUAAACGGGGUUGGGC